rnacentral:antisense_RNA from 1 species
UGUGGGAGCUGGCUUGCCAGCGAUGCAGGCGACUCGGUGUGUCUGAUGUACCGAGGUGAUGCCAUCGCUGGCAAGCCAGCUCCCACA